GAAGGGGGCUAGCGUUGCUCGGAAUCACUGGGCGUAAAGGGUGCGUAGGCGGGUCUUUAAGUCAGGGGUGAAAUCCUGGAGCUCAACUCCAGAACUGCCUUUGAUACUGAAGAUCUUGAGUUCGGGAGAGGUGAGUGGAACUGCGAGUGUAGAGGUGAAAUUCGUAGAUAUUCGCAAGAACACCAGUGGCGAAGGCGGCUCACUGGCCCGAUACUGACGCUGAGGCACGAAAGCGUGGGGGAGCAAACAGGAUUAGAUACCCUGGUAGUCCACGCCGUAAACGAUGAAUGCCCAGCCGUUAGUGGGUUUACUCACUAGUGGCGCAGCUAACGCUUUAAGCACUCCGCCUGGGAGUACGGUCGCAAGAUUA
rnacentral:rRNA from 1 species